rnacentral:rRNA from 1 species
AGCAGUAGCCGCGGGAAUACGUAGGUCCCGAGCGUUGUCCGGAUUUAUUGGGCGUAAAGCGAGCGCAGGCGGUUUGAUAAGUCUGAAGUUAAAGGCUGUGGCUCAACCAUAGUUCGCUUUGGAAACUGUCAAACUUGAGUGCAGAAGGGGAGAGUGGAAUUCCAUGUGUAGCGGUGAAAUGCGUAGAUAUAUGGAGGAACACCGGUGGCGAAAGCGGCUCUCUGGCUUGUAACUGACGCUGAGGCUCGAAAGCGUGGGGAGCAAACAGGAUUAGAUACCCGGGUAGUCCCUGUCUCUUAUACA